rnacentral:rRNA from 1 species
GACGAACGCUGGCGGCGUGCCUAAUACAUGCAAGUCGAACGCAGUGGGGACGGGUGAGUAACACGUGGGUAACCUCCCAUCAGAGGGGAUAACACUUGGAAACAGGUGCUAAACCGAUACUGAUGGAUGGACCCGCGGUGCAUUUGCUAGUUGGUGAGGUAACGGCGCACCAAGGCCACGAUGCAUCGCCCGCCUUGGAGGGGGAUCGGCCCACCGGGGACUGAGACAAGGGCCAAACUCCUACGGGAGGCAGCCGUGGGGAAUCUUCCGCAAUGGGACAAAGUCUGAACGAGCCACGCCGGGUUAGGGAAGGAGGUUUUCGGAUCGUAAACCUCUGUUGUUAGAGAAGCGGUAUCUAACCAGAAAGCCACGGCUAACUACGUGCCAGCAGCCGCGGUAAUUC